CACGUGGGUGGCGAGCGUUAUUCGGAUUUACUGGGCGUAAAGGGUCCGCAGGGGGCCUGCCACGCCUGCCGUGAAAUUCCAAGGCUCAACCUUGGACCUGCGGCGGGUACGGGCGGGCUAGAGUGCAAGAAGGGCAGACGGAAUUCCAGGUGUAGCGGUGGAAUGCGUAGAUAUCUGGAAGAACACCGAUGGCGAAGGCGGUCUGCUGGCUUGUAACUGACCCUCAGGGACGAGAGCGUGGGUAGCAAACAGGAUUAGAUACCCUGGUAGUCCACGCCGUAAACGUUGUGUGCCAGAUGUGGGUGGGUUCGGCCCCAUCCGUGUCCAAGCUAACGCGGUAAGCACACCGCCUGGGGACUACGGCCGCAAGGCUAAA
rnacentral:rRNA from 1 species